ensembl:snRNA U6 U6 spliceosomal RNA
GUGCUUGCUUCUGUAGCACAUAUACUAAAAUUGGAACCAUACAGAGAAACUUAGCUACAGCCCCAGCGCAAGGGUGACAUGCAAAUUUGUGAUGUGGUCCAUAUGAAG